UGCAAUUCACGUACUAUUGGUUUAAUAGUAAGGUUCCAGACAUACUAAAAAAUGUCACUUUCUGUUUU